rnacentral:misc_RNA from 1 species
UCCCCGUUAUCCGGGGCGGUUUCACUAGAGUGCCCAGCUUGACCUGAUGGCAACUAGGGAUAAGGGUUGCGCUCGUUGCGGGACUUAACCCAACAUCUCACGACACGAGCUGACGACAGCCAUGCAGCACCUGUGCAAGCUCCCCUUGCGGGGUCGUCAGACUUUCAUCCUUCUACUACAUACAUGUCAAGGCCAGGUAAGGUUCUUCGCGUUGCAUCGAAUUAAGCCACAUACUCCACCGCUUGUGCAGGCCCCCGUCAAUUUCUUUGAGUUUUAAUCUUGCGACCGUACUUCCCAGGCGGCACGUUUAUCGCGUUAGCUUCGCCACAAGAGGGGUCGAUUCCUCUUACAGCAAGCGUGCACCGUUUAGGGCUAGGACUAC